rnacentral:rRNA from 1 species
UACAGAGGGUGCAAGCGUUGUUCGGAAUUACUGGGCGUAAAGCGUGCGUAGUCGGUAUUGAGAGUCGCGGGUGAAAUCCCAGGGCUUAACCCUGGAACUGCCUGCGAGACCUCAGUACUAGAGUGUGAGAGGGGAUAGUGGAAUGCCAAGUGUAGCGGUGAAAUGCGUAGAGAUUUGGCGGAACACCGGUGGCGAAGGCGGCUAUCUGGCUCACAACUGACGAUCAGGCACGAAAGCGUGGGGAGCAAACAGG